UACGGAGGGUGCGAGCGUUGUCCGGAAUCACUGGGCGUAAAGGGCGCGUAGGCGGCAUGCCAAGCGUGUGGUGAAAGCCCGGGGCUCAACCCCGGGUCGGCCGUGCGGACUGGCGUGCUCGAGCACUGUAGGGGCGGGUGGAAUUCCGGGUGUAGCGGUGGAAUGCGUAGAGAUCCGGAAGAACACCAGUGGCGAAGGCGACUUACUGGACACAUAUUGACGCUGAGGUGCGAAAGCGUGGGGAGCAAACAGG
rnacentral:rRNA from 1 species